rnacentral:rRNA from 1 species
CAGAGGGUGCAAGCGUUAAUCGGAGUUACUGGGCGUAAAGGGCGCGUAGGCGGUUGAUUGGGUGUGAUGUGAAAGCCUUGGGCUUAACCUGAGAAGUGCAUCGCAAACUAAUUGACUGGAGUAGAUGAGAGGGUGGCGGAAUUUCCGGUGUAGCGGUGAAAUGCGUAGAAAUCGGAAGGAACGUCAAUGGCGAAGGCAGCCACCUGGCAUCAUACUGACGCUGAGGCGCGAGAGCGUGGGGAGCGAACAGGAUUAGAUACCCUGGUAGUCCACGCUGUAAACGAUGAGGACUAGAUGUUGCGAGGGGAACCUUGCAGUAUCGAAGCUAACGCGAUAAGUCUUCCGCCUGGGAAGUACGGCCGCAAGGUUG